rnacentral:lncRNA from 10 species
ACUGCGCUUCCGUCGCACAGAGCCUGACGAAGGCUUGGGCUCCCCGCGCGGUGACCGUCGAGGUGACCUGCACCUGGCUCCAUGGCGGAACCGGCCGGCACGGAUUAUUCCCCUCUCGGGAGAGGUCUGCAGCCGGGCCUCAGUGCUUCAGUUCGUGGCCUGGCAUUUUGUGAAGAGUGUCUUCAUCUCUGCAUCCCUAGUGCAACAGAGCAUGACAAAAAUUCAACAAAUAUUUAUUGAAGAGUCUUGAUGUCUUUUGGGAAAGGAACUCUAUGGUUACCUUUACUCUAAGUUAAAAACAACAACAACAACAACAAAAACACAAAACCCUGAGGCUCAGAAGAUAAAUAUUUGCUGAAGAUCACUGUGCUUAUUAGAUGGGUGUUACUGAUUCUUACCUCAGAGAAGAGAAUGUCAUGGAGACAAAAUGACCUGCUUAGAGUUCUGCACCCCCCAGCAUGGAGAGCAGAGCGCAAAGAUUUCUUCCGGACUCCCACAUUCCCCUUGGAAUCCAAGAACUGGUCUACUGUCACAACACUUUAGUACCCUCUUAGAUGGGGAUCUCACUCUGUUGCCCAGGCUGGUCUCAAACUCCUGGCUUCAAGCAAUCCUCCUGCUUCGGCCUCCCAAACUUCUGGGAUUACAGAUAUGAGCCACCACGGCUGGCUGACAGGCACCAAAUUCUAGGAGAGGACUUGAAUAGACUCCCAAGGAGGCAGCAGAAACUGGGGUAAUCACAACGGUCAACAGCAGCAAAGGCAGCACUUUCUGA